AGCCUCGGGCGCGGCGGGCGGGGGGCGCGGGGCGCCGAUUGGAGCCCGCGCGUCAGCUGGGGCCGCCGUCUGGACGCUUAAAGGGCCAGGCCGCCCUGCGUGCGGGCGAGGGGCGCGGAUGCGCGGUGUGCGCGCCGUCCCGAUGCGGCUGCCCUGCAGAGAGCCUCGGGGUCCCCGGGCCGGGCCGGCAGCUGACGUGGGAGCGUUUGAACCGCGCGACCCCACCCUCCCGCGCUGAGCCCCUCUCUGCGGGGAAGUUCGUCCGGAGUCUAACCCGUGUGUCCUCCCGCUGCUCCACGGGGGCGGGGCCAGGGUAGGCGUGAGGUCACCGAGCUGGGCGCGCCGGCCCCCGACCCACCUGCUCCCUGGAGCCGGGAGACGCUGAGGGCCCGAGCUCCGCACCCCAGCCACGCUCACCACCCGCCCCCUGUGGUCCCGGCUGCUCCGACUUGGGGGGUUUCCCUGGCUCCACUCCUGCACCACUAACCUGCCAUGGACAAGUCUCUUCACCUGCUGUAUCGGAAAGUGACUAUGGAGUCUGAGCAAGCAAAGACCAGUCAGCACAGACUCAAAGUUCGCAUGUAUUUUCAUUUCUACAAGACCCUUUUCAAGUUGUAGGGAAAUUUAAUUGAUGUAUAUACAAAUUAGACACUGCUAGUAUGUACAAAAGUAUUUUCUACAUUUGUGACAAUAUCAACUAUGCCAUUUGCAGUAAACAGGAUGUUACAAAACUGUCCAAUAAAGCAUUUUCUAUUAAGCACA